GAAAAAGAGUUUUCUAUUAUUUUGAGAGAGGUGGAGAUAAUGUGGGGAAUUAUGAGAAAUUUUUUACAAAUGAUAUGCCACCUGGGUGGUGAUACUAGGCUUUCUGAGCUUAUCACUCUAAAGGGAAUGCUUCUUUUAAAAUUAGGGAUCUGAAGAACAAUGAAAUUUCCUGGACUAUUGAAGACAUGAAUGGUGCUUUCUCUGGGCUUGACAAACUGAGGCGACUGAUACUCCAAGGAAAUCGGAUCC
rnacentral:lncRNA from 1 species